CAGGACGAUGUCUAUGGAGGUGUCUUCAGGAUCGGUGGUGCAUCAGAAAAUAUGACAUGAAGAACCUGUGCAGGACGCGGUAAAUAAUUCAGAUCUGGGCUUUUCUCCAUCCCUCUGUGGUUCACCUUAUGCUGCUUCUCAUUGAAUUUUUCAUUUUUACAUUAGUUCCUAUAUGGCUGCAGGCAACCUUGAGAAUGGAAGGUAACUAGCUCGGUCUGGUGCUGAGGGCAACGCCCGGCUCGCUACCGAGGUCAUCCGCACAUAUGCUCUGCGGAACAUCAGGAGCAGCACUGGCACCUAUUGCCCUGCUGUAGUGAUGCAGGCCAGAGCGAGCUGGGAUGCAUGUGGCGAUGAGAGGAU
rnacentral:lncRNA from 1 species